AGUGAAAAGAAGACAUCCUUUUUCAAAACAGACAAAACUGAACAACAUACAUUUCUUCACGGUUGCACAGCUUAGUCAAUUUGGUUAGUUUUGUUCGUACUCAUUUGUUUUUGUCUGAAUUUCAAAGAAGUUGCAAGUAAUCGCUUGGUGAUUUCAUGAACUUCAUAAUCGAGUCAGUAAAUUCUUCUGAGGGCAACUGUCACACAGAACGUGAGACAUGUGGACACAAUGAACAGAUCACAGCCCCUGUGUUUUGUCCAAUGGUUCCUGAAGGCAACCUAAUUAACAAAAUAAUAAGCAGGUGUGCAGGUUGGGCAGCCAUUUUAAAGCUUAAAGCAUCCUCCUCUUCAUGCUGUUGCUGAACUGUUAAAGGUGCCAUUUUCCCCCAAACUGACUAUGUGUGGGCUGUUGACUGUUUUGCUCAGACCUCGACUGGCCUUUGUGCCAAGGGCAGGUAUAAUGAUUCAACAAAAAGCAAGUUCUAUCUUCAGCAAACCCCCAAAACAUAGUGUUAGCACAAUGGAGUCUGUGUUCGUGCUGACUGUGCUGCAUCUUGCAGUCCUUGGGCCUUCUGGUUGGGUUUUGGUCAACUUGGAGCAUUAUAAAAGCCGUUCCUGAUGGAUGACGAGACCUUGCAGGAAGCACUGUGUACAGCCCUGAUUACAGAAUAUAUGUGGUGUUGUGUCAUCUGAAUAUGAUAACAUAAUAAACGGAAGUCUGUCAAUUAAA